GAUCAUUACUCUGGAGAAGUCUUACCACAGCACUAGGUAAGAUGCCGAAGGUGCAACACUGCUAAAAACAGUGAAAUCUCUCAGGCAAAAGGGACAGAGAUGCGGAA
rnacentral:ncRNA from 2 species